rnacentral:rRNA from 1 species
AGAGUUUGAUCAUGGCUCGAGGACGAACGCUGGCGGCGUGCUUAACACAUGCAAGUCGAACGAGACGAUUUUAAGCUUGCUUAGAUGAGUCGAGUGGCAAACGGGUGAGUAACGCGUAGACAACCUGCCGCAAAGAUGGGGACAACAGUCCGAAAGGACUGCUAAUACCGAAUGUUGUCAUUCUUCCGCAUGGAGGAAUGAUUAAAGAUGGCCUCUACUUGUAAGCUAUCGCUUUGCGAUGGGUCUGCGUCUGAUUAGCUAGUUGGUGGGGUAACGGCCUACCAAGGCGACGAUCAGUAGCCGGUCUGAGAGGAUGAACGGCCACAUUGGAACUGAGACACGGUCCAGACUCC